AAUUGAUUAAGGUUUUCAAAAGCACUUCUGAAACGAGUUAACAGUAGUUGCAUCUCAUUCUCUUCCCCUCCAUAAAAUGCAAUUGAUUCAGCAUUUUCUCGAACGCGCACAAGACCAUAGCGGAAAUCUGCUUCUUUCUUCUCUUGCAAAAAGUUGAGACUCACCAAUCCCUUUCCAAGGAAGACGCUGAGAGCUGUUCCACCAAGUGAAUAUGCAAGAAGCACACCAAAAAGUGGUGGGUAGAUACCGAAUAAAAUAUUGCUGAAAGAUAUUAAGUCUAUAGCAGCAUUGAAGAGUGUCAAUGAAAAUGAGAGAGCUGUUCCUGUAAAGGAACUUAAAUCGUCAACAAUCCGCUGAUCUGGAUUAUCGAUGGUAGACUGUGACUGAAUUUUGUAAAAUGUCUUAUUCUUCAGAUACCGUUCCAUGUAAUAGCUUGUCAUCCAAGACCUCCACCUUAAAGAUAACUUCUCUCGUGCAUAAUCUCUCAACACAAAAAACUAAAAAAUAUGGAGCAAUGAUCUCACCGGGAUACCACCAGCAAAACCAGCAAGAUAGUAUAACAGUUGUUUGGUGAACUGUUCUUGGUCUUUGUUGGCAAGUGCAUUAUAAAA
rnacentral:misc_RNA from 1 species